GUGGGGAUUAUUGGACAAUGGGGGGAACCCUGAUCCAGCCAUGCCGCGUGUGUGAAGAAGGCCUUUUGGUUGUAAAGCACUUUAAGCGAGGAGGAGGCUACCGAGAUUAAUACUCUUGGAUAGUGGACGUUACUCGCAGAAUAAGCACCGGCUAACUCUGUGCCAGCAGCCGCGGUAAUACAGAGGGUGCAAGCGUUAAUCGGAUUUACUGGGCGUAAAGCGCGCGUAGGUGGCCAAUUAAGUCAAAUGUGAAAUCCCCGAGCUUAACUUGGGAAUUGCAUUCGAUAGUGGUUGGGUAGAGUAUGGGAGAGGAUGGUAGAAUUCCAGGUGUAGCGGUGAAAUGCGUAGAGAUCUGGAGGAAUACCGAUGGCGAAGGCAGCCAUCUGGCCUAAUACUGACACUGAGGUGCGAAAGCAUGGGGAGCAAACAGGAUUAGAAACCCCGGUAGUCC
rnacentral:rRNA from 1 species